rnacentral:sRNA from 1 species
UUUCCUGCGCGCCCUUCAAUCUUUGCUCAAGCUCAUCCCUUGCUUUUGCCUCCACAUCUAGCUUCAUUUGCAGCUCCUUUUCUGCAGAAGUUCCAACUUUUCGCAUCUUCUCCAAUUCAUUCAGUUUCUCUUCCGCUUCUCGCCUCUUAUGGGCUUCAUCGUCUACCCUGGCCUUCCAUUCCUUUUCUCCCGCCUCUAGAGCAUUUUCCAUCUCACUUAGCCGUCUUUCAACGUCUUUUCGCUCGUCCACAGCCUUCUCGAUUCUCGCUUCUUGAGUUUCUAUCUCUUUUUGGGUCAUGUCGAGUUGCCUUGCAAGCUCCUUGGCUGAUUGCCGUUCGGUGUCCAGAUCUCGAGUGAGAGUCUCAAUAACAGCCCCCUGGGAAUCGAGCUGUUCUUUGAGGGAUGCGAGCUGGGCUGUGAGCUCAUGUCGAGUGGCAAUUUCCUGUUCUAACUGAGCGUGAGCCCCUCCGGCAGCUUCCUUGGCCCUUUCCAAGGCCUGAUCCCUUUCUUCUUGCGCCGUACGACGCCCUUCAGCCUCACAAGAUAACUUCUUCUCCAAUGAUCGAUUGGCUUGAGCAGCAUCCUCGAGCGUUUUGAGGGCUUCUACAAGCUGGGCCUCGGAUUUGACUUCGCCCUGCUUCAAGCUCUCAAUACUUGCUUCCAUUUCAGCCUUGCUUCUGUCCCAAACCGCUUUUUCAUCCUCUCUGAGCCUCCUUAAGUUCCCAAUCUCCUCUCUUAGCUCUCCCAGAAUUUUCGUCUCGUUUGCCAUCGCUUCCUUCUGGAAGCUUUCCAGAUCUUCGGCCGCCUGAUCACGUUGCUUUUUUGUUUCGGCGUGUUCACUCCGGAGUUGUUCCAACGCAGUUUCGCCAGACAAUUUGGCAGAGAGCAAAAUGUUGGUCUGAGCUGUAAGAGUUGAGAUGGAAGAUUCGUACUCCGCAAAUUUCGUCGAGGCAUUCUGUGCUGAGGAAUAGACGGCGACAUGUUCCUUUUGGAGAACGUCCAAUUGAGAUUUGAUGCUUUCCACUUCUUUCUUGGCGGCUUUCUCCCCCUCUUCGGCCUUCUUUCGAGCUGCACCUUCGUCUUCCUGUAAUUUGAUUCUUUGCUCAAUUUCCUGUUUAUCUUUCACUGCCAUAUCCAGCUGCAUCUGUACUUCCUGCAGCCUUCCUUCAUCUUCAAUGACCAACUCUUCUCGACUCUUUCGUAGCUCCAAAACUUCUCCUUCAAGCUCAUCAAUCUUGGUGGCCUUGUCUUCCAUUGUAGCUACCAGAUUAGCUCGGGUAGCCUCAAGUUGUGAAUCGCGAUCUCGAAGGUCAGUUUCGGUAGACUGAAGCGUGGCUCGCAAUGCGGAAAGAGAUUUGAGGGCGGUAGAUAAUUCGGUGGUGAGAGACGCAAUACGUUCGUCUCUCUCCGACAAUUGAGAGGCCCGGAACAAGGCAGAUGCAAGAUUCCGGUUGGCAAGAGAAAGCUCUUCUUCCUUUUGGGUUAAACUUUUUCUCAAUGUUACCAACGCAAUAUCGUGGUCAAAAUUCUAGAGUACUGUCAGUACAAAUAUGAGGGCGAAUGACGAGGAGAUCAUUUGCUUACUGGUGCACCAUUGUUACCGCCAGCAGACAGUUUUCCAAGGGUUCCUGGCGCAUCUUCCUCUUCUUGAACCCUCGUCAACCCACUAACUGCUCUCC